rnacentral:rRNA from 1 species
CCAAUAGCGUAUAUUAAAGUUGUUGCAGUUACAAAGCUCGUAGUUGAAUUUCGGGAUCAGCAGGUUGGUCGUGCCUCUGGUAUUCACUGGUUUCGCUGAUUCCUCCUUUCUGAAGUACUGUAAUGUCAUUAAUUUGGUUUUGCAGGGAAACAGGACUGUUACUUUGAAAAAAUUAGAGUGUUUAAAGCAGGCUUAACGCUUGAAUACAUUAGCACGGAAUAAUGAAAUAGGCUGUUUGAUCCUAUUUUGUUGGUUUCUAGGAUUGACGUAAUGAUUAAUAGGGAUAGUUGGGGGCAUUAGUAUUCAAUUGCCAGAGGUGAAAUUCUUGGAUUUAUUGAAGACUAACUACUGCGAAAGCAUUUGCCAAGGAUGUUUUCAUUAAUCAAGAACGAAAGUUAGGGGAUCGAAGACGAUCAGAUACCGUCGUAGUCUUAGCCAUAAACUAUGCCGACUAGGGAUCGGAUGAUGUUAAUUUUUUAAUGACUCAUUCGGCGCCUUACG